UCGAGCGAACGGACGAGAAGCUUGCUUCUCUGAUGUUAGCGGCGGACGGGUGAGUAACACGUGGAUAACCUACCUAUAAGACUGGGAUAACUUCGGGAAACCGGAGCUAAUACCGGAUAAUAUUUUGAACCGCAUGGUUCAAAAGUGAAAGACGGUCUUGCUGUCACUUAUAGAUGGAUCCGCGCUGCAUUAGCUAGUUGGUAAGGUAACGGCUUACCAAGGCAACGAUGCAUAGCCGACCUGAGAGGGUGAUCGGCCACACUGGAACUGAGACACGGUCCAGACUCCUACGGGAGGCAGCAGUAGGGAAUCUUCCGCAAUGGGCGAAAGCCUGACGGAGCAACGCCGCGUGAGUGAUGAAGGUCUUCGGAUCGUAAAACUCUGUUAUUAGGGAAGAACAUAUGUGUAAGUAACUGUGCACAUCUUGACGGUACCUAAUCAGAAAGCCACGGCUAACUACGUGCCAGCAGCCGCGGUAAUACGUAGGUGGCAAGCGUUAUCCGGAAUUAUUG
rnacentral:rRNA from 1 species